rnacentral:tRNA from 1 species
GGGGUUGUGGCUCAGAGGUAGAGUGCUCGCCUAGCAUGUGUGAGGCACUGGGUUUGAUCCUCAGCAACACCU